AUUGGCUACUAAAAAAUGAUUGUUUUAGUGUUAUCAUAUUUCCUCGUUUUUCAUGUUUUUGCAUUGUUAUCUGUGCAUCUUCUGGAACAGUCUCUCCUUCCAGUUGUGUAGAGUAGCUUUCAUGCAGAAAACGUUUCACCUGGAGAUGGGUUUGAAGUGUCAGUUGGGUAGGAUGUGUUGGCCUUGUUCUGGGUGGAUGUAGUAAUGUAAACUCUGUGUAGUUUAUUUAGCUGCAUUCAACAUGGGAGAGGUCUCUGAGUGCCUCAGUGGCUUGGGCUGCAGAGGUCUGUGGGGCUGUGCAAACUUAAGUGCUCCUCCCCUGAGAGUGGGGCAGCUGGAUGAUCUAUGCUGUGGGAGAAGGACAAGUUUGUUCAGCCUGUGUGUGAUUAUAAUUAAACCACGUAACCAUUAAACAAAAAGAGGUUGGCAGAUUCUCUGGUCCAUGAGAAAAAUCACAGAGAACAUUAACUAUUAGUACAGCGGGCCUUCUUUUCAUUUCCUCACCUUUAUUAACCAAUAUUACCAGAAAUUAUGGACUACCUUUCUAGGAUCAUAAUUUUGAUUUGUAUUACUAGGGUUCAGCACCAAAUCCUCGACUUCAGGUCUGUAUCUCCUUAUAAUCUCUGCAUCCCUUCCUACAGCACUGUGGGAAUCUAUGCAGUAGGUUGUUCUCAAGGUCACUUUUGUGGUAGGCAGACACAAAGAUGGCCCCCAAAGGGCCUCAUCUCCUGGUAUUUGUGGUCUUAUGUAAUCCUUAGCCUUGGAGUAUAAGCUGGACCUAAUGCAAUGGUUAUAAUAAAUAGAAUAUGGUAAGUAUUCUAAUUAUGAUGGAAUAUGUAUUUUGGAGACAUCAGGGGUCAAAUGUGUCAGGUUACUGUCCAAGCCAGGCUGGGAAAGCAUAGACACCCCACGAAACUGAUGGCAAAUGGCCCUGUAUUCCUUUUUUUGACCUGAGGGGUUGUUCCUCUCAGCCUCAGCCUCCACAGUCCUUGCUGUGAUGCAGAUUCAGAAGUAACCAAUCCCAAGAAAGGACUCACACUGUAUAGAGGAUAGGGAAAACUAUCCUUAUAUUAACCACCAAAAUUAGGAGUCAGAAUGCUUCCACCCACUGCACCCUGGGUUGCAGUUUUACCAAUUGCCAAGUACCGUGAGAGAACAAACACCCAACCAGCUAUAUGAAGCAGGUUUAUUACACACAGAUAGGCAGCAAGGGACAACAGAAGCCUAGAAGCACUAUGAGCCAGUCCCGUCAGGUUCAAGAAAGUUGCCAAUGAUGGAUGGAGUCUCAACUGCAUGUGCCCUAAUUGCACAACAGCUGAAGGUCCCCAAAAGGUAGCCUGACCAGGGUUAUAUGCCUCAGGGGCAUUGUGAAUCACUGAAAAAAGCUUUGAAGGACUUCCUGCUUCCACAGGAGAGAGGAACAAAAGCCCAGGCUGUCCCAGGCAGUUCCUCCCUAACUCAAAAUGUUGCAUUCCCUAGGAGGGACAGGAACAAAGUCUGGGCUGUUUCAGGUAGUUCCUGUGCAUCUCAGGAUAUUUACUGCAUUUCCAGCACAUUCUAAAGUUAUUCUUGAGAACUGCAAGCAAGAAUGAAGGAGAACUGUGUCAGUCCAUGACCUCCUAAAGAAGUGCCCUGCAUCUGUCAUCAGAUAGCAGCAGCAGAAGGAGGAAGAUAAGGAGAGGCAGUGAGUCUGAUUCGGCUGGGAUGAAUGAGGGAUCUGGUGGUAAAGAGGAAAGGAAGUGAAGAAACAGAGACACAAAUCUAACACCUGAACACAGCUCCUGUAACCACAGCCCCAGUGAUCACAGCUCCAGCAACCACAACGCCAGUGACUACAGAAGGACGGCAGAUGGAGCACCAUGCAUCCCCACAGAGGGGCUGUCCUGCGGUCCUUACAGGAGUUGCCAAGCUCCCAGAAUCUCCUCCUGCUGCUGUCCCCACCCUGCCUGAAAGAGAGUUCUCACCACCUCCUCCCAGGCUAAACCCUUCAUGUUGCAGGAGACAGAGAAUCCCAGGUAAGACCUGGACUUUUUCUCCCCGCUCCCUUCCUUCCUUUUUUCACCGUGUGUGUUCAGGAUAAAUUAUCUUGGUUUUGUUUCUGGAGGGAAAAGGGCAGAGGCCCUGACUUGAAUCUCAAUCACAUUUCUACACACAGUACCUGAAGAGACAGAAUAGCAGAGGGGUGGGAACAAUUAACAUUGCUCUAUAGGCUUUAGAAUGGAGAAAACAUAAUGCCCACUCUUUUUUCUUUUACCCAAAUCCAACUUCAGUUUUCUCUCCAACUCUCUAAAACCACCACCAAUACUAUUAUCAUAUCAUGUGUAGUACUUGGGGGGUGGUGAAAGGCUGAGUGUGAAUCAUGUUCAGAUAGCAGGGUGUUAAACGAAAUAGUUCCUCACAUCAAUGCCCGAAGUCAUCCUUGGUCACAAUAAAAGAGAAUAGAGAGAAAAAAGUAUGAUUAUUGUAUUAGAUAGUGGGGUUGCAGGGUUUUUUUAUUUUUAUUUUAAAAAUUAUUUUGUUAUGAUGAUAUCAAUUUUUUAAGAAAUAAAAGAAUGGAAAAAGUUGACGGGAUUUCAUAAUGCAAAGAAAAAAGCAAAACAAAAAACAACAAAAAGCAAACAAAAUAAAAAUUUAUAUGUAAUACCAAAUUUAAUCCCUUCGUAACUCUGUGAAGUGGGUCAGUACUGAUGGGUCAGCUUAACUAACAGAUACUAGGAAUAGAUCCAAAAAUAACCAGCCAUGAUCGUAUAGCUUGUGGAACCCAAGUUCUGUGACACUCAGCCCAGUGUUCCACGUACAAUGGCAACCUAAGCGAGGAGGGGGCCUCAGAGAUGAGGUGGCCGACCCUUGCAAUGUUGAUAUUCUCCAGCUUUCUCAGAGCAAGUGGCUGAAUCUCUUUCGUGACAGACAACUCACCACCUACCAAAGCAGCCCAUUUUAUUAAGUCUAAUUUUUAAAAAAGAUCCUUAUGAUGAGCACAAUUCUGUCUCUCUCAUACUCUAUGGAAACGACCAAUUUCUAACCUCUAUGUCACCAAGAAUAAGUAUAAAUCUUCACAUAAUAGCCCUCCAAAUAUGUGAAAUCUCUAUAGUCAUAGCCAGGUAUAUUGCAUCAAAAUAAAUGGCUAUUUUCUGCAGGAGGGUUGGUCCAAAUGUCCUAGCCCACCAUUACUAGAAACAAGAAGUCCUCCCUAUUUUUUGAAUAACUAUAUUUAUUUGCUCAAAUCAUACUUAUUAGGGGCCUGCUAUCUGCCAUGCAGUGGGGAUGCAGCAAUACACACGUCAAAUAGAUAUGCAUUUGGAGUGUGGAAGUGGGUGCCCACCCUAGUCGGGGAGCAUCUCAGGAUGUCCUCCUUGAGGAGAUGACAUGUCAACUGAGCCCAGAGGACAACAGGAGUUGACAGGGAAGAGUAUUUCCUAGAGGGAGAAGCUGGAGGCAGCUGUAGUGAGGUGCUGAUGGGUUCUGGCCACCACCUGGACCACCUAGAUUUGAUGUUUCUCCACCCCCACUUAGUUGUGUGACCCUGGACAAGUUCCUCACCCACUGCGUGCUUUAGAACCCUCACUGUGAAACAGGAGGUGUGACAGGAAUGUUGUGAGGAUUGUUUGAGUGAAUACAUAUGAAGGACUUAGGACAAGCCUGGCACAUUGUUAAUGCUCAAUCAAUGUUUGCUCUCCCGACUGGAGGGAAACAAGGUAGCAGGCAGGAGCAGGGAGUGUGCAGACAGUUCCUGCUAAGCCUUGUAAGUCAUUCAUGGCCCAGCACUGUAACCAGAGAAGUGAGGAUGAGACUUCCACUUUGAGAAAGGCCUCUCUGGCCGCAGCAUGUAGAGGAAUGGGAGGGGAUUAGAAUGUGUGUGCAUGGACUAGGUGCGAGGUAACUGCAGGGCCAGCAUCUGUGGCACAGAUUAUCUCUCUUCAUCCUGAACCCCUCCCUCUUCCUGUCUUGAAUCCUUUUCCCAUUCCUGACCACAUCCUCCACCUGUCAGAAAGUCACAGGUGUUAAGGAAGAGAUUUCUGAGCACACUUUGGACAGAAGUCAUGAUGAUGGGGCCCAUGACUAGGAACCUGCUGGGAGAGGUGGCCUGCAGUGUGUCUGGAGUACACGGGGGACCCUGGGAGCAUCUUCUGUGGCCGUGGCCCAGGCAGGCCUGCAUCACUUGGUGCUGUACCACUAUCAGAUCCACCACGGGAGCCAUGUGCUGUCCAUUCCACAAGGAGCUCUUUCAACAGGGAGAUGUCAGGCCCAACUGGAUUCUAGCCACCUUGGUCUCCAGUCUCCUACUCUCAAGCCCAUGAGUGACAAUCCAGCACAGGAAAUUUGGUUCUGUGAGCAGCAUCUAUUGGCAGGAUGACCAGCAAUUCUUGUGUGUGGUUUGCAAAGAUCUUACGGAGCACAAAUGUUACGUAGUGCUGCAGAAGAACAAUGCUAGGUUCCACAGGUAGUCUGUCCUUUUGUUGUCUUGUCUACACCACAGAACCUUUGGUCGACUUGCCUUAUUAUUGGUUUCAGUCCUAUUACAAAACAACAACAACAACAAAUUAUUGUAUUCUAAACACAGUUCUAAAUGCAACAAUAGUUUAUCUUUUAAUCCUGUAUUAUACAGUUUACAAUUACUUGCAAAUGCAUAGUACCUCACUCCAAAAAACCUCAGGCAUCCAGGCAUCACAAUUUCUCUCUCUGCAUGACACAGAAACUUCCAUGUCACUAGAGGAUUUCACAAUCCAUAUACAAAUCCCCUGAAGACUUCUAGGUGUAAAGGAAGCAUCACUGGACACAACACUGAAAAUGGCAAUAGGCCAGGCAUGGUGGCUCAUGCCUGUAAUCCCAGAACUUUGGGAGGCUGAGGCAGGAGGAUCACCUGAGGUCAGGAGUUUGAGACUAGCCUGGCCAACA